CCUACGGGAGGCAGCAGUGAGGAAUAUUGGUCAAUGGGCGGAAGCCUGAACCAGCCAUGCCGCGUGAAGGAAUAAGGUCCUAUGGAUCGUAAACUUCUUUUGAGCGGGAGCAAUAAGGUCUACGAGUAGACCGAUGAGAGUACCGUUCGAAUAAGCAUCGGCUAACUCCGUGCCAGCAGCCGCGGUAAUACGGAGGAUGCAAGCGUUAUCCGGAUUUAUUGGGUUUAAAGGGUGCGUAGGCCGUUGUGCAAGUCAGAGGUGAAAUCGCGGGGCUCAACCCCGUGUCUGCCUUUGAUACUGUAUGACUUGAAUGUUGUUGCCGUGGGAGGAAUGAGUAGUGUAGCGGUGAAAUGCAUAGAUAUUACUCAGAACACCGAUUGCGAAGGCAUCUCACGAAACAAUUAUUGACGCUGAGGCACGAAAGCGUGGGUAUCCAACAGGAUUAGAUACCCGAGUAGUC
rnacentral:rRNA from 1 species